rnacentral:rRNA from 1 species
AGAGUUUGAUCCUGGCUCAGGACGAACGCUGGCGGCGCGCCUAACACAUGCAAGUCGAACGAGAGAUGAGGAGCUUGCUCUUCAAAUCGAGUGGCGAACGGGUGAGUAACGCGUGAGGAACCUGCCUCAAAGAGGGGGACAACAGUUGGAAACGACUGCUAAUACCGCAUAAGCCCACAGCUCGGCAUCGAGCAGAGGGAAAAGGAGUGAUCCGCUUUGAGAUGGCCUCGCGUCCGAUUAGCUAGUUGGUGAGGUAACGGCCACCAAGGCAACGAUCGGUAGCCGGACUGAGAGGUUGAACGGCCACAUUGGGACUGAGACACGGCCCAGACUCCUACGGGAGGCAGCAGUGGGGAAUAUUGCACAAUGGGGGAAACCCUGAUGCAGCGACGCCGCGUGGAGGAAGAAGGUUUUCGGAUUGUAAACUCCUGUCGUUAGGGACGAUAAUGACGGUACCUAACAAGAAAGCACCGGCUAACUACGUGCCAGCAGCCGCGGUAAAACGUAGGGUGCAAGCGUUGUCCGGAAUUACUGGGUGUAAAGGGAGCGCAGGCGGACCGGCAAGUUGGAAGUGAAAACUAUGGGCUCAACCCAUAAAUUGCUUUCAAAACUGCUGGCCUUGAGUAGUGCAGAGGUAGGUGGAAUUCCCGGUGUAGCGGUGGAAUGCGUAGAUAUCGGGAGGAACACCAGUGGCGAAGGCGACCUACUGGGCACCAACUGACGCUGAGGCUCGAAAGCAUGGGUAGCAAACAGGAUUAGAUACCCUGGUAGUCCAUGCCGUAAACGAUGAUUACUAGGUGUUGGAGGAUUGACCCCUUCAGUGCCGCAGUUAACACAAUAAGUAAUCCACCUGGGGAGU